UCUGCCUGCCUCGGCCUCCCAAAGUACUGAGAUUACAGGCAUGAGCCAGUAUGCCCGGCAGAAUUUUCAUCUUUUAAGUCCGCCACCCUUGGACACUUACAUUGUUUCCAUCUUUCUGUAUUUGCAGAUAUGCUUCUACAUACACCUUUAUGCAUUUGCUUGAACAUUUCCCUGAGAACAACCAGAAGUGGAAUUGCCAAAUUACUUUGUGUACAUAUUUCCAAACUGUCCUCCAGAAAGAAUGUAAUGCUUUGAUCUUCCACUUGAGAAUCAAAUGUUUACCUUCCUCUGUUCCUCCAGAUUUGGACAUUUACAGUGUUCAGCCUUUGUUGUGGCAUUCCAGUUCAACUGGGAAACAGCUUGAUAUAGCGUCCCCAGGUCCACAGUAAUACAUAUUAAACUUUUUUUUUUUUUGGUGCAGUGCUGCAAUUUCGUGGCUCACUGCAACCUCCACCUCCCAGGUUCAAGCGAUCCUCCCACCUCAGCCUCCCUAGUAGCUGGGAUUACAGGUGCAUGCCACCACACCAGGCUAAGUUUUGUAUUUUUAGUAGAGAUGGGGUUUCACCAGGUUAGCCAGGCUGGUCUUGAACUCCUGACCUCAAGGGAUCUGCCUGCCUCAGCCUUCUUCCAACGUGCUGGGAUUACAGCCUCCCGAACUGCUGGGAUUAUACGCGUGAGCCCCCGCGCCUGGCCACACCAUUGUUUUGAAGAGAAAAUUGGGUAAAAAUAAUUGUUCAGCUGUGAAAAUGGUUACCCAAAUGGGUAAGAGAGAUUUCUAAGAGUUACAGAAUAGCAACUGCAGGAAGGAACUUGUGCCCUUAGGACUGAGGAAGUAAAAAGGGAGGAAACUUGGAAACACGAAAGAGCCCUUCCCCUUUGAAUUCAAGGCAGAGACUGGACCUCAGAAGAGGGAGUGGGUGCCCCGAGAACUCACUGCUAGCGGACAGCGGAAAGGGCAGGAGCCGGACCAAGGUGAGGACAACGAAAGUGAAGGCCACUGGCUACCUCUCCUGCCCUCCGCUGGCCGCAUUGGAGAACUGCACCAGGAAAGAAGACAGCCCCUCCCUUCCGCUCUGACCUGACAGUGUUCCUCCAUCGCCCUCUAUUGGAGAAGAACAACAUCAAGCUGGCUAGCAAGGAACUGCGUAGAGUCUCGCUGGGUAUCACGCUGGAUCUCACCCAAAGCUGAGAUGUCAUCCAGCUCAGUAUCACAGAGCAGAACGAAAAGGAUGUGUUUGGGCUGAGAGGCCAUACAUUGGUAACUGGCACAUGAACUGUAUUUUCUAUUGAGCAUUGCUGGUAUAUGGCAAGUUUGCAUACAAUUAUAUUGAAAUUGACCACCUAA